ensembl:snRNA U4 U4 spliceosomal RNA
AGCUUUGCGCAGUGGCAGUAUUGUAGCCAAUGAGGUUUAUCUGAGACGCGAUUAUUGCUAAUUGAAAACUUUUCCUAAUAGUCUGCCAUGACGACUUGAAAUAUAGUCGGCAUUGGCAACUUUUGGCAGUCUCUAAGGGGA